rnacentral:misc_RNA from 1 species
GAACAUUGCUAUGGAGCAAUAAAAAUUCAAGAAUCCAUAUGAACUUUGAAGAAUUCAAAAACCCCAGUUGGAAAUAGAUCCCCUUUUUCAAUUUCAAUUUGAAAAAGAGAAAAAAAAAGUGAUCUUUUUUUUUUCUUCACUGUAGUGUGAUGAGAAUCAGUUUUUUACGAUUUGGGGUUUUGUUCUUGUUGUGUAAUUGUUUGAUUGGAGCUUAUUGUUCCAAAUCUGAUGAAGCAUAUGUGACCCUUUUGUAUGGCGAUGAGUUCUUGCUUGGGGUUCGAGUACUUGGCAAGUCGAUUAGGGAUACUGGAUCAACCAAAGAUAUGGUAGUUUUGGUCUCUGAUGGGGUUUCUCAAUAUGCCAAACAUCUACUCCAGGCAGAUGGUUGGAUUGUGGAGAAAAUUAGCUUACUGGCAAACCCAAAUCAAGUGAGACCGAAG